GUGACGCUCAUCCGUCCUGCUUGCUUUCAGAUUUCAGCUUCACUCCAAUUUCAAUCGGCUGAGCUUCCAAGGUGGACGUGCAUUGCUUGCCUUCAGAAAAUUUUCCUCGGCACGCCAUUUUAAAUGUCUGUGAAGUGGAUGCGCUAUAAGUGGGCUCUGGACGAUUAUGUUCCUCCUUAGGAUGAAACAAAAUUGUCCAGAACGUCCCAGCUUUGAAGAGAUUUACUAACUUAUUGUUGCUACUCCAUCUUAAAAAAAUACCACGCGGUUUAAACGUGCCAAGACAAGAUGUACAUGAAAAAAAUAUCCUUUCGUUCGACUGUAGAACUAUUUUAUAAAUAAUGAAUAAAUUCAACAUUGUGUUGACUAA